rnacentral:rRNA from 1 species
AGCCUGAUGAACCCGAAUAUUCGAAAUGAGAAAUUCAUUAUUUUCUAGUAGUUUCAUUCGAAACGAACGGUGGUAUGCACUUUUCUCAGUGUAGAACAUUGCGAUCUAUUUGUAUAUCCGUAUGGAUGGUUUAUCAAAUGGCCCGUAUGGUUUGUUCAUUCCUAUCUGUGGCAUUUUAUGUCAUAUGGUUGAUGCCAUAGCGGUGACCUGGUAAACAGCAGAUAGUUUUUAAAAAUCAUGCUACCACAUUUUAUGUGUAUCACGGCUCAUGUGCUGUUUCAGUGCGUGGGUGCAGUGAUAGCAUGUAUUUGAUUGGCAAUGCGAUAGAUUUGGGAUACCUUCAGGACCCGUCUUGAA